AUUUGUACACUAAGAAAUAGUUGUUCUAAUAAUAGUUAUUUAUUUAAACUAUACUAUCAAGUCCACCUUCUUUAAUUAUUUUACAACCUUAAAUCCGAAAAUAUUUAAUAAUGUAACUCACCUUAAUUUCUUACUUAUUAGCUGCACUUUGAUUUGUAAAGUUAUGGAAAUCAUAUUUUAAGCUUACCUAAGGUAAAGUUCAAUACAACGGUAUACAAGCUUCAACAAAGUAAGUAGUUUUUACUUGGUGGUUAUCAAUUACAUGGUAAGUUCCCCUAAUAUAUUUCCUUAGCCGCCAUAUUAUUUAGGUUUGAACUUUAUUAGUAUUAGUUGUAAUCCCUGUAUUGUAUGGUAUAAUUUCUUUAUAGUUGGGUAUCUAAUCCGAGUUUAUGGUUUAGAAUUUUACUGUAACCUUAUUAAUUAAGGGGUAUUACAUUAUGUAUUUCACCACGAUAAUGAAAAAUAAUUAAAUAAUAAUAGAUUAUUAAGCAAUCAACAAUACGAUUACAGGUAAAUUAACCUAUUAGGUUUGACCGCGGUUGCUGGCACCUAAUUGACCUAGGUUAGUUAAUUACCUAAAUUUAAUUUUCAUUAAUAAAAGUUUUAAAAUUAUUAACUGGGUACAUUAUUUACUCCCCAUAUUAAGCUAUACUAUGUAUUUACCUUGGCACCGGAAUAAAAUG
rnacentral:rRNA from 1 species